AGAUUAGAGUUUGAUCAUGGCUCAGGACGAACGCUGGCGGCGGGCUUAACACAUGCAAGUCGAAGGAGAAGGUAGAAGCUUGCUUUUACUGGAGACUGGCGGACGGGUGAGUAACGCGUAGAUAACCUGCCUAUAGCUGGGGGAUAACACUGCGAAAGUGGUGCUAAUACCGCAUAAUGCAGCGGGGCCGCAUGGCCAUAGUUGUUAAAGGUUUCGACCGGCUAUAGAUGGGUCUGCGUGCUAUUAGUUAGUUGGUAGGGUAACGGCCUACCAAGGCGAUGAUAGCUAGGGGGUCUGAGAGGAUGAUCCCCCACACUGGGACUGAGACACGGCCCAGACUCCUACGGGAGGCAGCAGUGAGGAAUCUUGCGCAAUGGGCGAAAGCCUGACGCAGCCACGCCGCGUGCCGGAUGAAGGCCCUAUGGGUUGUAAACGGCUUUUACUAGGGAAGAACGAGAGGGUUUCGAUCUUCUGUGACGGUACCUAGUGAAUAAGCACCGGCUAACUCCGUGCCAGCAGCCGCGGUAAUACGGAGGGUGCAAGCGUUGUCCGGAAUCAUUGGGUGUAAAGGGUACGUAGGCGGGAGCCUAAGUCUGGGGUGAAAUCUUGCCGCUUAACGGUAAAAUGGCCCUGGAUACUGGGUUUCUUGAGUGCAGAAGAGGCAGGUGGAAUUCGUGGUGUAGCGGUGAAAUGCUUAGAUAUC
rnacentral:rRNA from 1 species